rnacentral:rRNA from 1 species
UCCUACGGGAGGCAGCAGUGGGGAAUAUUGCACAAUGGGGGAAACCCUGAUGCAGCAACGCCGCGUGAGUGGUGACGGCCUUCGGGUUGUAAAACUCUGUCUUUGGGGACGAUAAUGACGGUACCCAAGGAGGAAGCCACGGCUAACUACGUGCCAGCAGCCGCGGUAAUA